rnacentral:lncRNA from 1 species
GGUACCUUGAAGAGUUUGAGGGCACUUGUGAUCUGGGUAGGAGCGAGAAAUUACAUUGUCGAUUAGUGCCCGAGUUGGGGUUCAUGUAUGGUAGACUGUAGAGGAUAUGUCAUGUAGGAGCCCAAUUAGUUUAGCAAAACAAACAUAGCUAUAACUGUUUGAUAAAAAUGCAGAUAUAAAUACAUAUGUAUAUAUAUAUAUUGAGAGAAGAACAUAUAACUAUUAUAUUGGAGAACAAAAAUGUAAGUGAAACUUAAUCACAAAUCAGUUAGUUGUUUAAGAAAAGGUGAUCUUGCCCGCCAACUAA